UACAGAGGUCUCAAGCGUUGUUCGGAUUCAUUGGGCGGAAAGGGUGUGUAGGUGGCGCCGUAAGUCGGGUGUGAAAUUUCGGAGCUUAACUCCGAAACUGCAUUCGAUACUGGCGUGCUUGAGGACUGGAGAGGAGACUGGAAUUCAUGGUGUAGCAGUGAAAUGCGUAGAGAUCAUGAGGAAGACCAGUGGCGAAGGCGGGUCUCUGGACAGUUCCUGACACUGAGACACGAAGGCCAGGUGAGCAAACGGG
rnacentral:rRNA from 1 species